UACGUAGGGGGCAAGCGUUGUCCGGAAUUAUUGGGCGUAAAGAGCUCGUAGGCGGUUCGUCGCGUCGGCUGUGAAAUCCCGAGGCUCAACCUCGGGUCUGCAGUCGAUACGGGCGGACUGGAGUUCGGCAGGGGAGACUGGAAUUCCUGGUGUAGCGGUGAAAUGCGCAGAUAUCAGAAGGAACACCGAUGGCGAAGGCAGGUCUCUGGGCAUUAACUGACGCUGAGGAGCGAAAGCAUGGGGAGCGAACAGG
rnacentral:rRNA from 1 species